GCUGAGGCGAAGCAGGGCUCAAAGGAGAAGCAGCGCCGGCCUCGUCUCGCUUCUCCUCAGAGCUCCGCCGCCUCUCC
ensembl:miRNA aca-mir-5439 aca-mir-5439